CAGUCGCCGCGGGAAAACGAAGGGGGCUAGCGUUGUUCGGAUUUACUGGGCGUAAAGCGCACGUAGGCGGACUUUUAAGUCAGGGGUGAAAUCCCGGGGCUCAACCCCGGAACUGCCUUUGAUACUGGAAGUCUUGAGUAUGGUAGAGGUGAGUGGAAUUCCGAGUGUAGAGGUGAAAUUCGUAGAUAUUCGGAGGAACACCAGUGGCGAAGGCGGCUCACUGGACCAUUACUGACGCUGAGGUGCGAAAGCGUGGGGAGCAAACAGGAUUAGAUACCCCGGUAGUCCCUGUCUCUUAUAC
rnacentral:rRNA from 1 species